AUUGCACGCUGGCGGCAGGCCUAACACAUGCAAGUCGAACGAGUGGCGGACGGGUGAGUAAUGUCUGGGAAACUGCCUGAGAGCGGGGGAUAACUACUGGAAACGAUCGCUAAUACAGCAUACCAUCAGAUGUGCCCAGAUGGGAUUAGCUAGUUGGUGGGGUAACGGCGAAACAAGGCGACGAUCCCUAGCUGGUCUGAGAGGAUAACCCGCCACACUGGAACUGAGACACGGUCCAGACUCCUACGGGAGGCAGCAGUGGGGAAGAUUGCACAAUGGGCGCAAGCCUGAUGCAGCCAUGCCGCGUGUAUGACGAAGGCCUUCGGGUUGUAAAGUACUUUCAGCGGGGAGGCGUUACCCGCAGAAUAAGCACCGGCUAACUCCGUGCCAGCAGCCGCGGUAAUUC
rnacentral:rRNA from 1 species